AGAGUUUGAUCAUGGCUCAGGACGAACGCUGGCGGCGUGCCUAAUACAUGCAAGUAGAACGCUGAAGAGAGGAGCUUGCUCUUCUUGGAUGAGUUGCGAACGGGUGAGUAACGCGUAGGUAACCUGCCUUGUAGCGGGGGAUAACUAUUGGAAACGAUAGCUAAUACCGCAUAACAAUGGAUGACACAUGUCAUUUAUUUGAAAGGGGCAAUUGUUCCACUACAAGAUGGACCUGCGUUGUAUUAGCUAGUAGGUGAGGUAAUGGCUCACCUAGGCGACGAUACAUAGCCGACCUGAGAGGGUGAUCGGCCACACUGGGACUGAGACACGGCCCAGACUCCUACGGGAGGCAGCAGUAGGGAAUCUUCGGCAAUGGGGGCAACCCUGACCGAGCAACGCCGCGUGAGUGAAGAAGGUUUUCGGAUCGUAAAGCUCUGUUGUAAGUCAAGAACGGGUGUGAGAGUGGAAAGUUCACACUGUGACGGUAGCUUACCAGAAGGGGACGGCUAACUACGUGCCAGCAGCCGCGGUAAUACGUAGGUCCCGAGCGUUGUCCGGAUUUAUUGGGCGUAAAGCGAGCGCAGGCGGUUUGUUAAGUCUGAAGUUAAAGGCUGUGGCUCAACCAUAGUUCGCUUUGGAAACUGUCAAACUUGAGUGCAGAAGGGGAGAGUGGAAUUCCAUGUGUAGCGGUGAAAUGCGUAGAUAUAUGGAGGAACACCGGUGGCGAAAGCGGCUCUCUGGUCUGUAACUGACGCUGAGGCUCGAAAGCGUGGGGAGCGAACAGGAUUAGAUACCCUGGUAGUCCACGCCGUAAACGAUGAGUGCUAGGUGUUGGAUCCUUUCCGGGAUUCAGUGCCGCAGCUAACGCAUUAAGCACUCCGCCUGGGGAGUACGACCGCAAGGUUGAAACUCAAAGGAAUUGACGGGGGCCCGCACAAGCGGUGGAGCAUGUGGUUUAAUUCGAAGCAACGCGAAGAACCUUACCAGGUCUUGACAUCCCGAUGCUAUUUCUAGAGAUAGAAAGUUACUUCGGUACAUCGGUGACAGGUGGUGCAUGGUUGUCGUCAGCUCGUGUCGUGAGAUGUUGGGUUAAGUCCCGCAACGAGCGCAACCCCUAUUGUUAGUUGCCAACAUUCAGUUGGGCACUCUAGCGAGACUGCCGGUAAUAAACCGGAGGAAGGUGGGGAUGACGUCAAAUCAUCAUGCCCCUUAUGACCUGGGCUACACACGUGCUACAAUGGUUGGUACAACGAGUUGCGAGUCGGUGACGGCGAGCUAAUCUCUUAAAGCCAAUCCCAGUUCGGAUUGUAGGCUGCAACUCGCCUACAUGAAGUCGGAAUCGCUAGUAAUCGCGGAUCAGCACGCCGCGGUGAAUACGUUCCCGGGCCUUGUACACACCGCCCGUCACACCACGAGAGUUUGUAACACCCGAAGUCGGUGAGGUAACCUUUUGGAGCCAGCCGCCUAAGGUGGGACAGAUGAUUGGGGUGAAGUCGUAACAAGGUA
rnacentral:rRNA from 1 species